UUUCUGAAGUACAAAAAUUUAAUAUUGCUUAGGGAAGAACAGGCAUGUUUGGGUGGCAGGGAGAUGAGAUGGUGGAGUCCCACACUGUUACCUCCCAGACCCAAGGCUUACAUGCAAUAGGAUAGAAUGGUAUAAAAGCCCUUUUAUACUGUGGGUUAUACAAGGAAUUGAAGUUGAUUGCUUAGAAGAAGAGAAGGAUUUGACCAAGGGCAGCGUUUAGGUGAAAGGAGAAACUGUGGGCACAUUUCUGGAGUUGGCUUUCAUCAGAAGUCAAUUUGGCAGGUAAGUAACCAAGAUGAAGUGUCCUUAUCCUCCACACUCCAUCCCCCUAAUUUGGCUCUUACAAUCUCACGCGCCUUCCUCUUCCGCGAUGGUCCCUGAGCCUUUAGGGAGGAGGUUGGGGUGAACAUGUUGCAUCAAUGUGUUUUCUACAGCAACAAUACAGCAGGCUUUGUAGAAAUCAUCAGCAGGCUUUGUAGAAUCAUCUUCAGAAUACUGCGAUUUUGGUGAAUUCAGAAGUACUACAAUGAAAGAUCUAUAACAUUAAUAAUUUGAAUAGUAGGAAUAGAAUGCACACAGGAUACAAUAAAAAUUGUUGUUGCAUUAGAAGCCAACUAAAACUAUCAUAAAGAGAAUGAAAACCCAUUUAUUCUUUGGAUACUUGUAGUCAGGAAAUAAUUCAGAAUUUAGUCCAAAUUGCAGGUAAAUAAUAAAAACCUCAAAAACAAUGUUUAGGGCUAGAAUCUAAUAACAGGUGUACUAGAGUUUUCUUCUGAAACCUAAUUUUUUUAUCUUCAGUUUCCACAUUUCUACAAAAGAUAAAUUAUAGUAGGACCAGUUUAUUUGCAAAAUAAAUUUUAAUCUCAUUAUACUUGGUCUGAUUAUUAUUGUUUGAGACAGAGUCUCACUCUAUUGCCCAGGCUGGAGUGCAGUGGUGUGAUCUCAGCUCGCCGCAAUCUCUGCCUCCCAGGUUCAAGUGAUUCUCCUCCCUCAGCCUCCUAAGUAGCUGGGAUUACAGGUGCAUGCCACCAUGCCUGGUUAAUUUUGUAUUUUUUGUGGAGAUAAGGUUUUACCAUGUUGCCCAGGCUGGUCUCGAACUCCUGAUCUCAGGUGAUCCACCUGCCUCAGCCUCCCAAAGUGCUGGGAUUGCAGGCGUGAGCCACCGUGCCCAGCCGUAACCUGAUUAUUUGCAAUGACGUGCAGAAAGAAUAGUGAUUGGCCAGAUAGCCUCUUUUAAAAUUGGCUUUGCUGGACAUUUCACGAGUAAUUUUGGACUAGAUGUUUAGAAACACCAAGGGCAGGAAGCAAAACCAAUAAUUUGCCAUCAGCCUGUGCUUGUAGUACCUGUAUAACCACCCAACGGGUUCUUGUUGCCCAUUGCACAGACAAAACCAAUUCACUGAGUCUGUGGUAUUGCAGUAGAGGUUUAAUUAAAUCAGAGCAAUCCAAGGGGCAGGGCUGGGAUUAUUAAUCAAUCUCCUUAAUAACUCAGGGGCCAGGAUUUUUAUGGAUAGUUUGGCAGGCAGGGGGCUAGGGAAUGGGUGCUGCUGAUUGUUUGAGGAUGACAUCAUAGGGGUGUGGAAAAUGGUCCUCAUGCACCAAGUCCGUCUCUGGGUGGGGGUCACAGGACCAGAAAUCUCAGGACCUCUGGGCAUGUGACUCCUGAGGAGCAAGAGAUUAUAGAAAGGCAAGCUGUGGGACAAUACUGGUUAUCAGUCAGCUACACCUGUGUUUUAGCAUAAUUCAGGACCCUCUCAUAAUCCUAAUCUUGUGGGCUUUCAUUUGUCUUACAAAGGUAGUUUCAGUCCCUGAGCAAGGAAGGGGUUCAUUUUAGGGAGUAAGUAUUAUCAUCCUUGCUUCAAAGUUAAACUAUAAACUAAAUUCCUCCCAUGGCUAGCUUGGCCUAUGCCCAAGAGUGAGCAAGGGCAGCCGGCCUGAGGCCAGACAUGAGAUGAAGUCAGCCAUGCUAGACUUCUCUCAUAUUCAUAAUCUUUGCAACAACAAUUUCACCUGUACGAACUGGGUGAAUUCCCCCAUCUUCCUGAGAUCCCCACAUAACUUGAGGUUCCUGGGCCUGUCAGAAAGUGACAUUGUUUACUUUCCACAGGUAAGGGACCUUAAAAGGAAAGUGUAUUGAAAAUAUACCCAGUCUUUUUUUUUUCCAAGAAGAUUCUUAUCAGCUCCAUAAAGUCAACUUCAAUUCCUCAAAUAAGUCGUAUUUGAAUUCAUUCCGCUGUAAGCCUUCAAAGAGUAACGAGCAUCUCCAAUGGUUCCUGUUAUGAAAGAAAACCGAAUCUGAUUGAGCUUGUGCCAAUAAUUAUAUUGCCAUAAGUGAAAAUACUCACAAAUAGUUUCCAAAUGUUGGAGAAUUCUUGUAGGGAGAAAGGUCAGUUUCACUCACAAAAGUAUACUUGGUCAAUUGUUGUUAGUUAUAAAUAGCUCAAAAGAAAGGUUUUCCUGAUGCUGCUUCUAACAGAGUGGCAGUCUUCCAAACAGGAUAUUGUCUGUUCACUUUGGAAUUGCUAUGCAGAAAGCAAGUAGCUCUUUGUCGGUCAGGCGAGAGCUGUUUAUUAGGCACUUGUAGAAUCCAGCAGCUCCUUAAGAUGGAGCAGGGACCCCUCUUGCGGGCUUACUCGGUCCCCAUCAGCCAGUAUGGAGAUAAAGGAAAAUCUUGACUUCCUUCAAGGGAAAUUCCAGGCAUCUAGCUAGCCUUGAGACGUAUAUGAGCAACUUGAUCAACAAGAAGGUAAUGGUAGCUUAAAACAAUAGCCAAGGAAAUUGGAGUCCUAACGUAUUUGGUUUCCUAUGAAAACUAAAGAAAGAUAACAUCUUAACAUAUGUCUCUGAGUUGUUUUCAGAAACCUGGACCCCCACCAGAAAAUGCUAAAAACACAAAAAUUAGCCGGGUGUGGUGUUGUGCGCCUGUAGUCCCGGCUACUUGGGAGGCUGAGGCAGGAGAAUUGCUUGAACCCGGGAGGUGGAGGUUGCAGUGAGGCGAGAUCACGCCACUACACUCCAGCCUGGGCGACAAGAGUGACACUUCCGCUCAAAAAACAAAAAACAAAAAACAAAAAACCAAAAACAAAACAAAAAAAAAAAGAAAGAAAGAAAAGGAAACCAAAAGCCCUGCUCCCCAGUUAGUUACUCUCAUCGUUACUUUCAUCAUCCAUUAGUUACUCUCAUCAUCCAUUAGUUACUCUCAUCAUCCAUUUUACUCUCAUCAUCCAUUAGUUACUCUCAUCAUCCAUUUUACUCUCAUCAUCCAUUAGUUACUCUCAUCAUCCAUUAGUUACUCUCAUCAUCCAUUAGUUACUCUCAUCAUCCAUUUUACUCUCAUCAUCCAUUAGUUACUCUCAUCAUCCAUUUUACUCUCAUCAUCCAUUAGUUACUCUCAUCAUCCAUUAGUUACUCUCAUCAUCCAUUUUACUCUCAUCAUCCAUUAGUACACUCGAAGGCAGUGUACACCCCCUUUGUACACUCUCAUCAUCCAGUUACUCUCAUCAUCCGUUUUAGUAAAGGCUCCUCUGGAAGCUGCUGAUAGCAGUCUCC
ensembl:lncRNA